rnacentral:rRNA from 1 species
UCAGAUUGAACGCUGGCNNCAUGCCUUACACAUGCAAGUCGAACGGCAGCACGGGGGCAACCCUGGUGGCGAGUGGCGAACGGGUGAGUAAUACAUCGGAACGUGUCCUGUAGUGGGGGAUAGCCCGGCGAAAGCCGGAUUAAUACCGCAUACGCUCUACGGAGGAAAGGGGGGGAUCUUAGGACCUCCCGCUACAGGGGCGGCCGAUGGCAGAUUAGCUAGUUGGUGGGGUAAAGGCCUACCAAGGCGACGAUCUGUAGCUGGUCUGAGAGGACGACCAGCCACACUGGGACUGAGACACGGCCCAGACUCCUACGGGAGGCAGCAGUGGGGAAUUUUGGACAAUGGGGGCAACCCUGAUCCAGCAAUGCCGCGUGUGUGAAGAAGGCCUUCGGGUUGUAAAGCACUUUUGUCCGGAAAGAAAACGCCGUGGUUAAUACCCGUGGCGGAUGACGGUACCGGAAGAAUAAGCACCGGCUAACUACGUGCCAGCAGCCGCGGUAAUACGUAGGGUGCAAGCGUUAAUCGGAAUUACUGGGCGUAAAGCGUGCGCAGGCGGUCCGCUAAGACAGAUGUGAAAUCCCCGGGCUUAACCUGGGAACUGCAUUUGUGACUGGCGGGCUAGAGUAUGGCAGAGGGGGGUAGAAUUCCACGUGUAGCAGUGAAAUGCGUAGAGAUGUGGAGGAAUACCGAUGGCGAAGGCAGCCCCCUGGGCCAAUACUGAC